CGGGGCGUAGCGCAGUCUGGUAGCGCAUCUGGUUUGGGACCAGAGGGUCGCUGGUUCGAAUCCGGCCGCCCCGA
rfam:Methylobacterium platani strain SE2.11 contig_72, whole genome shotgun sequence.